AUGCUAAGUGUGGGUUAUCUUUUUGCAGCAAUUCAGAGGCCCAGGGAGCAAAUAGUUGAUGAGAACGCUGUUGGACCUUACCACUUGUUUGGUACCAUCAGUAAGGGCCUGGCUGCUCUUCGUUUGGAAUCGGAGCCUUCCGGGAGAUAGGCCCGUUCCGCGUGGACACGGACGGCAAGACCCUCUGCAAUUUCAAAUACGCCUAGAACACAGGUAAGUGUCUACCUGCAGAAUGAUAAAUGAAAAGGAUACUUUUGUUUGCCUACAUUUUCGAAUCAAUAGAAUAUACGAGGUUUGUGAUUAUUCAUAAAUUUUGAUUGUUGACAGUUGCAUCUGAUUUUUUGUUAUAGUUGAAUGAAUUGUUUCAUGUUUGGGCUCUAUGUAGGGCUCUAUGAUAGGCUCUGAAUUUCAGUGCUUUUGUUUAGACUGAAAUGGUUCAGUUCAUGGGUCAUACCCAAGUUUAUUACUCCUGGGCCUUGCUGCCAUAAUGGCUGAAGAACCUUUCAAGCUUCUGGUAGGACUGAAAGUGUAAAGUGCAUUCAUUUCUAUAAAUCUGAGUUGUGCUCAACUGCUCAUGUGGUAUUUCUGUUGUCCAGGAAACAGAUUGUGGAUUCUGUGAUUGCACUGUUGCGUGUUGAUUUCAGUGGCAGGGGUGAACUAGCAGAGCGCCAGGUAUUCUCUUCAAUUCAUUUCAAUGGCAGUAGGCAGCUCAUAAAAAUGACGCUUGCUUAUGUGUGUAUAUAUCUGCUGUGAUAUUGCAGCAAAAGCUAGCACAGAUGUUGUCCCGCCUUACCAAGAUUGCCGAGGAAUUCAAUGUUGCAGUGUACAUCACCAACCAAGUGAUUGCUGAUCCAGGUGGCGGCAUGUUCAUAACCGAUCCA